GACGAACGCUGGCGGCGUGCCUAAUACAUGCAAGUUGAGCGCUGAAGGUUGGUACUUGUACCAACUGGAUGAGCAGCGAACGGGUGAGUAACGCGUGGGGAAUCUGCCUUUGAGCGGGGGACAACAUUUGGAAACGAAUGCUAAUACCGCAUAAAAACUUUAAACACAAGUUUUAAGUUUGAAAGAUGCAAUUGCAUCACUCAAAGAUGAUCCCGCGUUGUAUUAGCUAGUUGGUGAGGUAAAGGCUCACCAAGGCGAUGAUACAUAGCCGACCUGAGAGGGUGGUCGGCCGCCUUGGGACUGAGACACGGCCCAAACUCCUACGGGAGGCAGCAGUAGGGAAUCUUCGGCAAUGGACGAAAGUCUGACCGAGCAACGCCGCGUGAGUGAAGAAGGUUUUCGGAUCGUAAAACUCUGUUGGUAGAGAAGAACGUUGGUGAGAGUGGAAAGCUCAUCAAGUGACGGUAACUACCCAGAAAGGGACGGCUAACUACGUG
rnacentral:rRNA from 1 species